rnacentral:rRNA from 1 species
UACGAAGGGGGCGAGCGUUGUUCGGAUUUACUGGGCGUAAAGGGCGCGCAGGCGGUCUUGAAAGUCAGGCGUGAAAGCCCCGGGCUUAACCUGGGAAUUGCGCUUGAUACUCUGAGACUGGGGUACGGGAGAGGAGAGUGGAAUUCCCAGUGUAGAGGUGAAAUUCGUAGAUAUUGGGAAGAACACCAGUGGCGAAGGCGGCUCUCUGGACCGUAACUGACGCUGAGGCGCGAAAGCGUGGGGAGCAAACAGG